rnacentral:rRNA from 1 species
CCGAUCUCGGAUUGGUGGCGAGUGGCGCACGGGUGCGUAACGCGUAUGCAACCUACCCUUUACUGGGGGAUAGCCCGGAGAAAUUCGGAUUAAUACCCCAUGGUAUCUAAGAUUGGCAUCAUGAUUAGAUUAAAGAUUUAUUGGUAAAGGAUGGGCAUGCGUGACAUUAGUUAGUUGGUGAGGUAACGGCUCACCAAGGCGAUGAUGUCUAGGGGUUCUGAGAGGAUGAUCCCCCACACUGGUACUGAGAUACGGACCAGACUCCUACGGGAGGCAGCAGUAGGGAAUAUUGGUCAAUGGACGGAAGUCUGAACCAGCCAUGCCGCGUGCAGGAAGACGGCCUUCUGGGUUGUAAACUGCUUUUAUCAGGGAACAAAUAGACCAUGCGUGGCAAGUUGAGUGUACCUGAAGAAUAAGCACCGGCUAACUCCGUGCCAGCAGCCGCGGUAAUACGGAGGGUGCAAGCGUUGUCCGGAUUUAUUGGGUUUAAAGGGUGCGUAAGCGGUCGAAUAAGUCAGUGGUGAAAUCCUACAGCUCAACUGUAGAACUGCCAUUGAUACUGUUUGACUUGAGUAUAGACGAGGUAGGCGGAAUUUAUGGUGUAGCGGUGAAAUGCAUAGAUACCAUAAAGAACACCGAUAGCGAAAGCAGCUUACUAGACUAUAACUGACGCUGAGCACGAAAGCGUGGGGAGCGAACAGGAUUAGAUACCCUGGUAGUCCACGCUGUAAACGAUGAUUACUCGAUGUGUGCGAUAUACAGUACGCGUCUUAGCGAAAGCGUUAAGUAAUCCACCUGGGGAGUACGCUCGCAAGAGUGAAACUCAAAGGAUUGACGGGGGUCCGCACAAGCAGGUGGAGCAUGUGGUUUAAUUCGAUGAUACGCGAAGGAACCUUACCUGGGCU